rnacentral:rRNA from 1 species
GACGAACGCUGGCGGCGUGCCUAAUACAUGCAAGUAGAACGCAGUUGCGGACGGGUGAGUAAGGCGUAGGUAACUGCCUGGUAGCGGGGGAUAACUAUUGGGAACGAUAGCUACUACCGCAUACUACCAGAUGGACCUGCGUUGAGUUAGCUAGUUGGUGGGGUAACGGCUUACCAAGGCGACGAUACAUUGCCGACCUGGGAGGGGGAACCGGCAACAUGUGAAUGAUACACGGCCCCGGCUGCUACGGGAGGCAGCAAGAGGGAAUCAUCGGCAAAGGGCGGAAGUCUGACCGAGCAACGGCGCGGGAGUGAAGAAGGUUUUCGGAUCGUAAAGCUCUGUUGUAAGAGAAGCGGUAUCUUACCAGAAAGGGACGGCUAACUACGUGCCAGCCGCCGCGGUAAUUC